rnacentral:rRNA from 1 species
UACGAAGGGGGGCUAGCGUUGCUCGGAAUCACUGGGCGUAAAGCGCACGUAGGCGGAUUGUUAAGUCGGGGGGUGAAAUCCUGGAGCUCAACUCCAGAACUGCCUUCGAUACUGACGAUCUCGAGUCCGGGAGAGGUGAGUGGAACUCCGAGUGUAGAGGUGAAAUUCGUAGAUAUUCGGAAGAACACCAGUGGCGAAGGCGGCUCACUGGCCCGGUACUGACGCUGAGGUGCGAAAGCGUGGGGAGCGAACAGG